CAGCUCUCUAGAGGGCAGCAGUAAAAAUUUCCUUAAUACUGACUCAAUCUCUGGAAAGACUGUUUGGAAAGAGAAAUGCCUGUUUUGCAUGACUUUACAGCCCAACAGGAAGUCAUCGCAACUUUAAACAUAAAUAGCAAUCAGGCCACGAGUAAACCAAUCAGCAGCUUUGCUUCCAAAUAUGCACCAAUCAAUUAGUGAAUGGGUUUCCUUCCAAAUUAACCGACCAAAUCAAAGCAUCUCAGGAAACACGUUACGGGUAAUCUACAGUUUGUUUUGCUGAAAUGCAGACCCUCUGGUACGAUGCACUCUCACUUUCUGGACUUUUUAAUGCAGCAGAGAUUGUGCAGAUUGUAAACAAUAUCUGAUCGCCUCUACUUCAUCAGUGCCCUUUCUUUAACUGUAAAAGACCGUUCCCCUUCCCAGCAGGCUGUUAAAAGACAGCCUCUUGGCCUCAUUUGUACUCCAGCCGCACUCGCACAGCUGCCUCCCAGCCUACAACUGGAGCUCCAUCACCUGCAUCCAGCUGCAAACCACAAACAGAUUGUAGCUUUCCCCCGGAGGCGUAUUUUGUACAGUCAGACCAUCAUCUGCACAGAAGAUGAAGAGGCAGAGUAAAGCCGGCCUCUUUUGCCCAUCAAUGAAGGACAGUGUGCACGGGUCCAAGGGGUUAGUGCCAGUGAUGACUGAUACAGUAGUAGCUACGAACGUUGUCUGAGCAUGUGACAACAUUUCCCAAACCACUAAACAUUGAAAACAGACCAACGAGGAGGCAACAUGUUGCAUUGAUUUAGACAUUUGACAAAUAGCUCUGGAAUGAGUAUCCCCAUCCAGCCAUUUGUAAGUGGUUGCCAUAUAAGUAGUGGAUAAAAGGAAACAAGGACUCUUAUUUUAAGAACAGGAAAUGAGACAAUGACAGCAGACAAACUUAUCACAUAUUGAGAUGUCUGCGGUAUCAGUGGUGGGAUAUUCUCCCUGUAUGGUGCCUUUUAUGUCUCUCCUUGUGGAAAUCAUCUCAUUCAGAAUAUUUUAACCGCAUCUGGUGCACUGCUGUGAGUUAGUGUCCACGUGUUUACAGUGCUGGAUCAUACUGUAUGAUAUAGAGUAUUUCUCCCAAGAAAUUCAACCUUAAAUUACCAUUCCCAUUCCCACUUUAGUUUUUCUUACCGGAACUUCUGCUGUGUGUCUUUGCUUGUGUGUUUUGUUGAAUCUUUAUUUGCAUUAUAAGAAAUCGCUUUAGUUGAGUGGUUAAGGACUGAAAAACAGGUGUAAACAUAUUCCUAUCUGAACUCUAAAUCUUUACUUGACACUCCGCUCUGAAGCUGAGACUGGACUGCAAUUAAGUAAAUUCACACAGUUGCCAUUUUCUUUUGUUGUCACACUUCAAGUCAUGUUGUCCAAGUGGACCAUGCUGUUAUAACAUCUUACCUGAUCCAGGUUUGUUGGGAAAUUGUCGCAUAUCUGGUAACUGUUAUCAUUGAACUCAUUUUUGAUUACUGACCUAGUAUAACGAUAAUGGAUGGUUAAAAAAAUGUAGGGGUUUGGAACAUUCAGGAAAUUACCACAUAGGCUUAAAUAACUGAUAAGCUAGAUGGUUAAUUCUGACAGCUUAGUGCCAAAGAGAUAUGAUAAUAAUGUAUAAAUGUAGUGAUGGCCUACAAGCAAGAAAUGUGCACCUUUUGAUGGUUUGUUGUAUGUCUCUUAAGCACAUGCAUGCUCACCUCCAUGGCCGAUUGAAAACAACUGAGACCCUAAAGUGCAGAAGACUCCUUUCAGUGGUUUAAACUCAGUGUCGUCUUUGCUUCCCAUUGUGUAUUGUGACUUUUUCUUUUUUUGUCGGUUCAUCCACAGUUUUAUUCAUACUUGUGGGCCACAAAAAGCCACCACUAACUGCGUCAGUCUAGGAUCAGGAUCUAGGAUCAGAAACAUGUUGUCAUGUGAUUGCAGAAAACAAACAGGACGUGUGCCAUUGGGUCGCACCAAUUAAGAAUUACAGAAUGUUGCAGCUUGUACUGGACUGUUAGCAAACCUAUUCCUAACAUAUCAUUGAUGAGUACGAUGUCUUUAACUUUACAGUCGUGAAUGCUAUAUGUUUGUUUCAAAGUUGGUUUACACAUCUACCCUUGAAUAUGCUUGAACACCCGAUUUACCUUACUCUACGUUUUGCUAUCAAGGCCCACAGGUCAUGAAAAUACGAUCAUCGCCGUCCAUUUGGUUUUCCUGAAAAGUCACAAAUGUGGAGCUCCUGUCGGUGAGAGCAGCAUAGUUGAGAAAACAUGAUUACUCACGAUGGCAACGGCUUAAAACAGCACAUGUAAGCAAAAGAAUAAAAUCAUCCUGUUAAAUGUUGCAUAUAAUGACUCCACGACUAUAUUUGUAAAUGACAUGGGACAAAUGCAGCCAUUCGCCUCCCAACCACAACCCUUCUUUUUUUUUUUUUUUUGUUGGUCCUACAGAGUCAGAAUAACUCACCGCUGUCGAGAAGUGUAACAGAAGAGCCAAACACUGCAGGGUCAGAGUUUUUAGGUUACUCAGGGAUUUCAAUAACUGGAAGUCAGAGUUGUGUUGCGACACUGCAACAAGAGCAGUAAGUGUGUUUGAAAUACACAAGAGCCUGAAUGUGAAGACAACAGAGUUUAUGCCAUAAACUAAUGACAAUCAUGCUCUCUUUGGGUGAUGCACUGUCAUUGAUUAUCUGCUUUUCCAACUUCAUGAUUUCAAAGUAUAUCACUGUUCAACAUUUACUCAACUUUGGUUUGUGUAGUUUCCUUGGUCACCAGUGUAAAGAAUAGCUCUUGUGAUUUUGUGUGUGAGUGAUCAUAGGGAGGAAACACGUUAUGAUUAAUAACUGAUGCAUGCAGGCAGAGCGAAAUGAGUUUGUGAAUGCAUGCAAGGCGAGUUGUGCUGUUGGCAACAAUAAUGUUUGACGCAUUACAUGAGGAGUGCGCUUGAUAAUUUAAGAGGAUAUGUUGAAAAGGUUGGAUGAAACUUGUAUUCUUGGUUUUAUGUCUGAAGUAUUUCUCCCUGUCAUUCAGUAUUUAGAAAAAAUAAGGAAGAAUUCAUGUUAACAAUCCCCAAAAACAUGAUUUAUGGCAUUUAUGCUCCACAAUUUUGCAUGCUUUGUUUUGCACAAAAAGAAAAAUCUCCUCAUUAAAAAAAUAUUCAUUUCUUUUUCAAUCCCACUUUGGACUGCUGGGCUCAAGAUGUGUCCUGCUGCAGUCCAAAAAUUUGUUUCUGGGUAGUGUGCUGAUGUGCAGUAGAGGCUUCAAAUUUCACAUGUUGUGUAACUUGCAUAUUGGACCACUUCUACGCAGUAAUGCUCUAAAUAACCAACUAAAAAUCAGCUGAACACACAAAAUACUGUUUAAUCUUUCACCUAAUUUGACCGGCAGUCCUAUUUUUGUCACAAACGUACACAAACAGCCUCAAACAGGAUCAGAGUCUGGUUCUUAAAGUAUUAAGUUUUAUUGUAAACUAUAAAAAUCAUUGGAUAACAGACCAAACACGUGAAAAGGGUUGCAUUACUCUAACUGAACUGUGAAGUUUGACCAUGUGCCAUGAAGAGGAUUUGACUAAAGCAGGUUAUAGGUCCUAAGAGAUAAAAGUUGGAGGUGUGAAAAACUCUGAUUUGUUGAUAAAAACACCCCUUGACUUAAUCUUCCUCUCCCAUCCAUUCCUACUGAUAAGACUAGCUGUUGCUCCCCUCCCACGCCCCUGGUUGUAUUCAGGUGGAGCUUCUGUUUGACGCCACAGGGCCAAGAUCCUAACCUUACUGACCUUUUUUUUUAAUAACUCUGUGACCCAGAGGCCCCAGACAGUACGCCUGGCCGCCUGCUCUGCUUUUAUGAAGGCUUUUCCGGUUCAUCACUGUACGCAUUGUGCCAAAAAGAUGGCAACUAUCAAAAGAGACGGAGGGCCUGAGGUGAGAAAGGUCAAAGAAACGUACAAACAAAGGGAGAAACAGGAGAUAAGGUGUCAGACAAAGAGAUAGCGAAAACAGCGGAGUGAAGAACGUGUUAUCGCCGUCACUGAUUCAGGUCAGAGGGGUGUGAGACAUGAGUUGGCAGAGCUAAGAGCAGGGGCUUGUUGGAAUAUGUGUGGGGCCAUAGGAAGUGCUGUGUGGAGAAGAUAACAGUGUGUGAGUGAGUGUGUGUGUGUUUGUGUGUAUGGUUGUGGAGGUGAGAGGAGGGAGAGAGGUGGUGGUGGUGGUGGUGGGGGGUGAGAGAGAAACGGUGUCCUCAGCCCUGCCCCGCUUUCCUCUAUUCACUGCCCGUAUCCUGUCUGUGUGCUGCUCCCUAAUGGCUUUUAAUGAGCCACCGGUGGAUCCCACCAUUUCCUGCCUUCACACAACAUGCCAGCCAGAGCGCCAGUGAAAGGAAGAGAGAGUUAACUGGGUUGAAAUAGCAACAUGACUGACUGCCUCCAGGGGUGGGCAUUUAUUGUUUGCAACAGGUCCAUAAAGAACAACCAACAUAGUGAUACACAACAACGCAUCCUGGUCUGAUGCUGGGUGUCCUCCCAGCUCAAUUCAGCUCUUCCUUCGUGUGCUCUCUGUGCUGGGUUUUGCUGGUCUAAUGAAGUUUCCUCGUUUUUCCUGGUUGGUCAAGUCAGAAGCUAGAAGUAGUGCUGCAACUAACGAUUAUUUUUUUGUCGACUAGUCGUCCGACUAUUCGUCCGAUUAAUCACGAUUAAUCACUAUCUUCUUUAUUUAUAAACACCUAUUUCUGGGGUGUCGGCGUUUCAGGUGCUCAUACAUCGCCGUGGUGCUGCCAUGGUAGGAAAGCUGAGCUUUGAUCGACGUGUUCUUUUGGUUUGUUCUCCGUAAAAUGUUCCCAAACUUUUGAAGUUUUGGGUCGGAGUUUUGGAGCGUCUUUUUCAGUUUGUUCUGCCAUAAUGUGUGCACUCCUCUUCUGUGUUUGCUCGCGGGAUGUAAACAGCGAGCGCUACUGCCCCCAGCACAUCCUGUAGUGGACUGUAGUUAUAGAUGAGCAUGAGGCGCCGGCAUGUGAUUCUUAACAACAAUAACACGACGCGUCGACGCUUCGUUUUCGUGUCGAUGAAUUUGUUGAGUCGACGUAAUCGAUUACGUCGACUAAUCGUUGCAGCCCUAGCUAGAAGCAAAAAAGGAAAAAUGCAAUCCUGGAAGUCAUCAGCUGACCAUCAUCUUGCCAAAGACGUCAAUAUAGAGAAGUUGUUUGAAGCUCAUAGUCCUGCUAAUGCUGGUUUUAACCGCUUUGACGCUUGACUAUGCCGGUCUUACCAGCAGUGUUGCCUUGUAGCAGGGCUAUCUCAGCAGUAAAAACAAGGCCGAUGAUAAGUUUAGCACGAAUUUUCAUAUUGCUCACAGUACAGGGUGUAACACUGAGCAAGAUGGUUAUUGGCUUUGAUGCUUGUAACCUGCUGACCUGUUAAGCAAACCCACACAAAUCAAGUGUUUUCUAUUUCACCCUUUUUUUCAUGAUGUGCAGCAGUAUUUUUGCAGAGCUAGAGAGUUUAUUAAGAACUUUUAAGACCAGCCUUAUAAUGCAGAUUGAAUUAGACAGGCAUACAAACAGCUGUGGAAAGUGUAAUGACACAUAAAAUGGCUUUUAUCUGAAGCAGAAAUGACACUUCAUUCAAUGUAAUCAGGCUAAUUUACUGAGAAGUCUUGUUGGGAAGAUGGACAAGGCGGUUGGUUAGCCAAACUAACUGGAGCUGGACUCUAGCCAACUUGACACUGAAUCAUGUUAUCUGUACUCAUCGACACGCUGUCACUCCUCUUUGGCCUCAAAAACACUGUAGCACGAAAAACUUCACAAUGAAACACGGGUAUGUUGUGUUGUUUGGCUCAGCACAAAAGCACUGUAAGGGUGAAGCCUCCCUCUUGCAAAAUUGCGGGGCAAAAUUGGUUACAGUCUGUCAUGACAAUUUUCAAUGUCUCAAAUUUUGAGCUAAUAAGCAACCUCAGGGGACCUAGUUUCCUUCCUCAGUUUUUGUGCACUUUGUACUAUUUCCUGGAUAAAUGUUAUUUGCAAUAUCUUUUAGGAAAAAACAACAUAGAAGUGAGCGAACAGACUAGAUCGGUCACACAUGUACAGAAAAAGAGCAUGAAACCUUUAUUAAUGCUCUCUUAAUGUAUAUGUCCCUCUCGGGUGUCUCCUUCUCCACUCGUGGCUGGCAGGAAUCCAUGGCUCGGAGUUGUGUCCCAUCAUUGUGAUAGAUGACAGGUGAGAGAGUCUCUAUGAUCCCUCUGACACUCUGUAAUCAAGUUAAGAAGGCUGGAUUAGAGGCUCCUUUUGAAAAGGGCUGAGGUCAGUGCUCCAUUCUGCCUGGUGCAUAGUUCCACAGAGCAAGAAAAGGCCUGACAUUGAUUGAAGGAAUGUGUGUGCAUGAGACACAGAGAUAGACGGAGGAGAGCAAAGACAGAGACAGAUAUAGCGCCCGUGGAGGAGAUAGUGCGAGGCUUUGAAGGUGUUCUUAGGUAAGGAUUGAAAACAAAGCUUGCAAAUUGGACCAUUUGCUCUUUAGUGUCAGAUUUUAUCAGCUGUAGUGUGCUAACAUAGCCUGAGCUAAUGCUCACGAGAAAAACUCGCAGGUUGGAAGGCUCGAUCAGUGGGUUGAAAAUUGUGUGUCCAGCUGAAUUGUGAGCUUGCAAAAGAGUCUAAAAUGUGCAGCUGCUCAUAUUUAUUGGCUUAAAUCCUGGUCUGAGCAAAUCGAAACAAUCAGAAUCCAUGACCCCAUAGAGUGUGGAAAACUUCUUGUAAAUCUUAUUCUUUGACAGUAUAGCAUAACUUUUACAUAAACUGAGAUACUUACACUGUUUGAUACUGCUGGGUGUAAAUUUUGCAUAACAAAGUGAAAAGCAGAGGAAUGCCCAGCCAGGGUAUGAGGCAGGACAUCUAUUGCUGUCCUGGAGGGCCAAUCACCAUCUGCCUUGGAUAGAGCAAUCAGCAUGAGAUCCCAUUUCUGACACCAAGUUUGUUUUGGAAAUUGUCCUGUUUCCCUUCUACAGUAGAGUUCAAUAACAGAGUUCACAAAAGGACCUCAAGUCAAACAGUUGUCUUUGUGUAUUUUAUUAUAUUCUUGCAAAUAUAGAAAGAUAGCACAGAGCAAGUAUUGUAAGACAGCUGCAAGGUGCAGUCUUAGGCGUGUUCCUAUUUUAUUUUACACUACGUCAAACUGACAAAACUCAGUGUUCAUACAAGGACUCUCAGUAUUAUUCCCAUCUCAAUCCUCACUACUGAGGGCUUCCCCAGCGGUCUGUUUUGGGUCCUCAACUACUUACUGUGUAUAUGCUUUCCCUGGAGCAAAUUCUUCAUAAACACAGAAAGACUUUCAUUGCUAUGCAGAUGACACCCAGCUCUACAGUAUAUCCUGUCUGCCACAAAUUAAAAAUCAGAUUUAUGAAAUUCAUAUAUUGACAUUUUUAGUACAUGAAAAUGAGACUGACAACAAUUUUAAUUCCAGUUUCCCUUCUUUUCUUGACUCUAACCUUUUGCCUUGUUCUGUGUCUCCUGUAGUGUCCUAUUUAAAUUUGACAGCCCAGAUGAACGGUUAAGGAGACACAGCAGUAAUGGCAGUAAUUCAUCCUUAACUGCUAAAGAAAAUCGUCAUUUUUCAAGGGCUAAUAAUCAGGUAGUGACAGCAAAAGUCCCCCCUAAAGUUCAACCUUCCUCCUCAUCAUGGGAGGUAAAGAGCUUUGGAUGGCCAGUGUUUACUGCUCAGGCUGUUACAAUUGCCAAACCUGGUGCAACUGGGUGGGCUGAACCCCCCCAGAGUUGAUAACAAUGAUUACAACAACAUCUGCAGUGCCUACAGAUAUGAAAAAGCAUUUAUAAUGUGGACAACCAAUGCUUACAACAGGGAUUUAAAUAGGUGUGUAAGUAGGUAAGCGCCAACAAAUUUAUUGCCCUUUAUCGUGCAUCAUUGUACUAAAAGCCAUUCUCAAAUCUCUACUUUGUAUUUUAAAUUCAUAUUUAAGUAAUGUCAGGAAAAAAAAGCUUUUUAAUUAAGAUUUUUCAACACUCAGAAUAUGUCAGAAUAAAAUGCAACUUUUUCACCAAAACUCAUCCUUUUUCUAACUCCACCACUAUCACCUACAUGGGAAGCUGCUCUGUAACACUGCAUUGUCAUGAUUAUGACUACAAUGGGUGGAUUAUGUUUGAGAGCAACAAAGUGGUGUUGAUAGUAAAACAACAACAGCACAGAAUGAAGUUUUUAGAACUUCGAGUUAAAGUUGGUUGGUUUUUGUAGCUUUGGAGGACAUACCACGUCUGGUCUGACUAGUCCAGGCCUAGCCUUCUCUGUCGGGAAACCAUCAAGGACUGAUGUCCUUGCUGAUAUUGACCUUUACGUAGCUAUGUAGUGUUUUCUGAUACAGAGUAAACAUUUUGUUUUUUGAACCUUCAAAUGCAGCACUAACUUGGAAACUUAGACAAUGUAAAUAAGUUU